UCCAGAAGUCCCCAUGAGAGGAACUGUGCGCCAGCACCGAGUGCUGGGAGGCGAAACCCAAGGGAGACAGCAGCCGGGACCUCCCAAAGGCAACAACACUCCCGCCAGCAGCGUCGGACCCCGAACUCAUACAGCAGAUCCAGAAGUCAUCAUGACAGGAGCUGUGUUAGAGCCCCCAGUGCUGGGAGCUCCACUCACCGGUGGGACAGUGAGACAGGGACCCACCGCUGACACGUCCCACGUCAGACAGGGAGAAGGAGGCCCCCAAAGGGAGGGAGCCAGCAUGCCUGCUGUGUGGACGAUCAGAGGCUGACCCGGGCACCUGUGGAGAAAAACUCCAGUUAAAUUGGCUCUGUGCCCAUGAGUUCUGCCUGUUUUUUGCCAGCGACUUUCCUGACCGCCCGGGUCAUUGAGUAGGACUCUAGUGUCUUCACAAAAGGAAUAUCCAAGAUGGAGUCUCCCGGGCAGCACAGCAGAGAUGCUGCAUCUGUGGCCAGAGCGGGGCCACCAUCACCUGCUGCGAAACAGACUGUGACCUGAGCUUCCACCUGCCCUGUGCCAAGUAGGGAGGCCGUGUCACCCAGUUCAUGGCACCGUACAGGGGCUUCUGCCCCGCACACAGCCCAGAGCAGGCAGAGGAGGCGAC